UCACAUUGGUGGACAUUGUGAAUGAUUUUCAUGAAGACUUUAAAGAGGAAAAAAUCAUCCUUGAGGGCAAACCAUCUGAUACUAUAGAAAGUGUCAAGGCCAAGAUAUAAGAUCAGGAAGAUAUUCCUCCUUAUCAAAAAAAUGAAUUUUUGUGGGCAAGCAACUGGGAGAUGG
rnacentral:lncRNA from 1 species